rnacentral:rRNA from 1 species
AACGAACGCUGGCGGCGUGGAUAAGACAUGCAAGUCGAACGAGAAGACACGAAGCUUGCUUUGUGAAUUCUAGUGGCGAACGGGUGAGUAACACGUGAGCAACCUGCCCUGAAGAGGGGGAUAGCCCGGGGAAACUCGGAUUAAUACCGCAUGUGACCGUAAGGUUAAAGGUGGCUUCGGCUGCCGCUUCAGGAUGGGCUCGCGGCCUAUCAGCUUGUUGGUGAGGUAACGGCUCACCAAGGCGACGACGGGUAGCUGGUCUGAGAGGAUGAUCAGUCACACUGGAACUGAGACACGGUCCAGACACCUACGGGUGGCAGCAGUCGAGAAUCAUUCGCAAUGGGGGAAACCCUGACGGUGCGACGCCGCGUGGAGGAUGAAGGCCCUCGGGUCGUAAACUCCUGUCAUCAGAGAGUAAUGGCUUACUAUUAAUAGUAGUGGGUCUUGAUAGUAUCUGAAGAGGAAGGGACGGCUAACUUCGUGCCAGCCGCCGCCGUAACAC